CAGCAGCCGCGGUAAUACGGAGGAUCCAAGCGUUAUCCGGAUUUAUUGGGUUUAAAGGGUGCGUAGGCGGACCCUUAAGUCAGUGGUGAAAGUUUGCAGCUCAACUGUAAAAUUGCCAUUGAAACUGAGGGUCUUGGGUGUAAAUGAGGUAGGCGGAAUGUGUUGUGUAGCGGUGAAAUGCUUAGAUAUAACACAGAACACCAAUUGCGAAGGCAGCUUACUGGGAUACAACUGACGCUGAGGCACGAAAGCGUGGGGAUCAAACAGGAUUAGAUACCCUGGUAGUCCACGCAGUAAACGAUGAAUACUAACUGUAUGCGAUAUACUGUAUGUGGUACAGCGAAAGCGUUAAGUAUUCCACCUGGGGAGUACGUUCGCAAGAAUGAAACUCAAAGGAAUUGACGG
rnacentral:rRNA from 1 species